AUUCCAGCUCCAAUAGCGUAUAUUAAAGUUGUUGCAGUUAAAAAGCUCGUAGUUGGAUUUCUGGUUUGAUGCCCUGGCCCGCUUCAAAUUUUGGAGUGUGUGCCGGCUGUGCGUCUGCCAUCCUUCUAGAAAACGUUCGUACCCUUCACUGGGCCGCGUUCGAGAUCUAGAUCUUUUACUUUGAAAAAAUUAGAGUGUUUAAAGCAGGCAGUUGCUAUGAAUACAUUAGCAUGGAAUAAUAAUCUAGGACUUCGGUUCUAUUUUGUUGGUUUCUAGUACUGAAGUAAUGAUUAAUAGGGAUAGUUGGGGGCAUUAGUAUUUAUUAACUAGAGGUGGAAUUCUCUAAUUUGAUAAAGACUAACUUAUGCAAAAGCAUUUGCCAAGGAUGUUUUCAUCG
rnacentral:rRNA from 1 species